UCUCUCUUGCAGCCGUGACAUGAC
rnacentral:siRNA from 1 species